GAACUUAAGCAUAUCAAUAAGCGGAGGAAAAGAAACCAACAGGGAUUGCCUUAGUAACGGCGAGUGAAGCGGCAAAAGCUCAAAUUUGAAAUCUAGUACUUUCAGUGCUCGAGUUGUAAUUUGAAGAAGGUAACUUUGGUGUUGGCCCUUGUCUAUGUUUCUUGGAACAGGACGUCACAGAGGGUGAGAAUCCCGUGCGAUGAGGAGUCCAACACUAUGUAAAGUGCUUUCGAAGAGUCGAGUUGUUUGGGAAUGCAGCUCUAAGUGGGUGGUAAAUUCCAUCUAAAGCUAAAUAUUGGCGAGAGACCGAUAGCGAACAAGUACAGUGAUGGAAAGAUGAAAAGAACUUUGAAAAGAGAGUGAAAAAGUACGUGAAAUUGUUGAAAGGGAAGGGUUUGAGAUCAGACUUGGUAUUUUGCAAUCCUUUCCUUCUCGGAAAGGUUUCUUAGCAGCUUACCGGGCCAGCAUCGGUUUGGAUGGUAGGAUAAUGACAUUGGAAUGUAGCUCUUCGGAGUGUUAUAGACUUUGUUGAUACUGCCUAUCUAGACCGAGGACUGCGUCUUGACUAGGAUGCCGCCU
rnacentral:rRNA from 1 species